rnacentral:rRNA from 1 species
AGUGAACGCUGGCGGUAGGCCUAACACAUGCAAGUCGAACGGCAGCACAGGAGAGCUUGCUCUCUGGGUGGCGAGUGGCGGACGGGUGAGGAAUACAUCGGAAUCUACUCUGUCGUGGGGGAUAACGUAGGGAAACUUACGCUAAUACCACAUACGACCUACGGGUGAAAGCAGGGGAUCUUCGGACCUUGCGCGAUUGAAUGAGCCGAUGUCGGAUUAGCUAGUUGGCGGGGUAAAGGCCCACAAAGGCGACGAUCCGUAGCGGGUCUGAGAGGAUGGUCAGCCAAGCUGGAACAGAGACCCGGUCCAGACUCCUACGGGAGGCAGCAGUGGGGAAUAUUGGAUAAUGGGCGCAAGCCUGAUCCAGCCAUACCGCGUGGGUGAAGAAGGCCUUCGGGUUGUAAAGCCCUUUUGUUGGGAAAGAAAUCCAGCUGGCUAAUACCCGGUUGGGAUGACGGUACCCAAAGAAUAAGCACCGGCUAACUUCGUGCCAGCAGCCGCCGUAA